CAGCCGCCACGGUAAUACGUAGGUGGCGAGCGUUGUCCGGAAUCAUUGGGCGUAAAGGGAGCGCAGGCGGGCAUGUAAGUCUUUCUUAAAAGUGCGGGGCUCAACCCCGUGAGGGGAGAGAAACUACUCAUCUUGAGUGCAGGAGAGGAAAGCGGAAUUCCUAGUGUAGCGGUGAAAUGCGUAGAUAUUAGGAAGAACACCAGUGGCGAAGGCGGCUUUCUGGACUGUAACUGACGCUGAGGCUCGAAAGCCAGGGGAGCGAACGGGAUUAGAUACCCCUGUAGUCCCUGUCUCUUAUACA
rnacentral:rRNA from 1 species